UACGUAGGGUCCGAGCGUUGUCCGGAAUUAUUGGGCGUAAAGGGCUCGUAGGCGGUUUGUCGCGUCGGGAGUGAAAACACCGGGCUUAACUCGGUGCUUGCUUUCGAUACGGGCAGACUUGAGGUAUGCAGGGGAGAACGGAAUUCCUGGUGUAGCGGUGAAAUGCGCAGAUAUCGGGAGGAACACCGGUGGCGAAGGCGGUUCUCUGGGCCUUACCUGACGCUGAGGAGCGAAAGCGUGGGGAGCGAACAGG
rnacentral:rRNA from 1 species